rnacentral:antisense_RNA from 1 species
ACUAAAAAUACAAAAAUUAGCCGGGCAUGGUGUCACAUGCCUGCAAUCUCAG